UACGGAGGGUGCGAACGUUAAUCGGAAUCACUGGGCGUAAAGCGCGCGUAGGCGGUCUGUUAAGUGGGAUGUGAAAUCCCACGGCUCAACCGUGGAACUGCUCGGUAUACUGGCGGUCUUGAGCCACCUAGGGGCAACUGGAACAAGCGGUGGAGCGGUGAAAUGCGUAGAUAUCGAGAGGAACACCUGCGGCGAAGGCGGGUUGCUGGGCUGAUACUGACGCUGAGGCGCGAAAGCCAGGGAGCGAACAGG
rnacentral:rRNA from 1 species